UACGUAGGAGGCGAGCGUUGUCCGGAAUUACUGGGCGUAAAGGGCGCGUAGGCGGAUAGUUAAGUGAGAUGUGAAAUCCCUGGGCUUAACCUAGGAACUGCAUCUGAAACUGGCUGUCUGGAGUGCGGUAGAGGGUAGUGGAAUUUCCGGUGUAGCGGUGAAAUGCGUAGAUAUCGGAAGGAACACCAGUGGCGAAGGCGGCUACCUGGACUGACACUGACGCUGAGGCGCGAGAGCGUGGGGAGCAAACAGG
rnacentral:rRNA from 1 species